rnacentral:lncRNA from 1 species
AAAUCCUUCGCAGAUGUCAUACUCUAACUCGGACACUCACCAUCACUACCAGUGCGAAACUCUUAGUGAUUUUGCCAUUUCAAUCGUGAACCGACGCUCGCAAGAAUCAUCAGCAGGCUUUUUCUUUCACCCCUUAAGCUGCUUUCAUUAAGAUAGUUGAUAAACGACGUCGAACUGCACGUCGAAAUCCUACGGCAUAGUAACAAAAACCUUGGCUGCGAUCAAUGCAGUUCUGAGAAUCCCCUCGUUAUGUUACCCUCUGGUCGCUGCCUAAACAAACUUUUGUGGCUGGGUCAAAACGACUCAAAUGUCACGAGGAAGAGUUGGCGUGAAGACAUCAAUGUUCUCAACUUGGAAGGUCAGACAUGGUGGGCCGACCAGCAGUUGGCAAUCUCGUUUUGACAUUGUUUUUUUGGUCCUCGAGAUCGACCAGCUCUUUU